rnacentral:tRNA from 1 species
GCGGGUGUGGCGGAAUUGGUAGACGCGCUGGCUUUAGGUGCCAGUGACUUCGGUCGUAGGGGUUCAAAUCCCUUCACCCGCACCA